GUGUCAUAAUGAAGUGAUCAUGUUAUGUGCUUCGAGAUGCACGAUAAUGUCGAUUUCUACCGAAUGACAUAAUUUUUGAACUCUCGCUGCAAGCCGGACAAGGAUUAAAACUUAGAAGUUAUACUCAUUCAUAUAGUGCAAUAGGUCUACCAGUAGCUUUUCAACUCGUGAUUCAAGUCCGGUUUUCAAGCGUCGGAUUAGUGCAAUGCAGGUUUUAAAAAUCUUCCGAUUAUUGAAAAUUUCGAGAGUUACAGUUUCAAAGUAAUAUUAUUUAUGGAUAAUUAUAUCAUGAUCAACAUUCAACAAUUGUCUAUACGAUAAAAAUAAUAGCUGUAAAACAAUAUUUCUUUUCGACCAACGUACAACAUAGGAUCAUUCCACAACUGCGCACUAGUUUUAUUGUAUCUAUACAGAAUCCCAUUUUUUGUCGGUGAUAUUCGUUGCUGCGCACAGAAAACUACUGAAAAAUGAAAGAAAACGAGAAUUUAUACCAACAAAUUUCCUACGGAAAAAUAAUAAAAAUAUUUUCGGAAGGGGCUACUAUGGACAGAGUUAAAUUGCC